rnacentral:rRNA from 1 species
AUGGAGCUGCACGCCGAGAUCCUCCGCCGCCUUCCGCCGCGGGGCAUCGCUACGUGCCGGGCCGUCCGCAAGGGCUGGCGCGCCGCCGUGGACUCCAACGGGCUGAUGCUCGCGGUGGAGCACCGGGUGCCGCACCACGUCGGCGGCAUCAUCAUCAACUUCUCCUACGAGGACCAGCCGUACUUCUUCCCCUGCGGGGCCGGCCCUACGGGCAUCGGCCACGAGGCCACGGCGCUUGAUUUCAUGAUCCCACCGGAGGUGGAGACGGGGCGGGGGAUCGUCCUCGACCACCGCAACGGCCUCCUCCUGUACGAGGGCGAGUACGCGGUGUACGUGUGCAACCCCGCGACGCGGCAGUGGGCGGAGCUUCCCCCUUUGCCCUCAGAUCUCCCCGGCGCCUAUUACCUCCUGUUCGACCCCACCGAGUCGCUGCACUACAACGUCUUCUUCUUCCCCGAGCCCAACAAACAUGAUCAGUCGAUGGAAUGGCCGCCGUCUUCGUACACAGCGAAAGUGUACUGCUCGAGAAGCGGCCAGUGGGAUGACAUGACAUUUGUCCGAGAAGGAGAUGCAACAACGGUGGCCAUGUGGGCAGAUCGAAUCAAUGAACGAAAGCGCCACGCCGUGUACUGGCGAGGGGCAUUCUAUCUUCAUUGCCCCACUGGUUUCAUCAUAAGGUUUUCAUUGGAGAAGAAGACUUCUGUAAUCAUCAGAUCCCCGGAAGUAGUGGGGAUGCCUAAUAUUACUGUUUAUGAGCCUGAAAUGCAUCUUGGGAAAUCGAAACAUGGAGUAUACUUCACAACCAUCUACGGAUCCCAACUUCAAACAUGGGUACUACUUGAGGAAUCCAAACCAUGUCUAGUGCAUAAGUGGGAGCUAAAGUGUCAUUUUGGACUUAUUCCCUCUUUUAAAUGA